rnacentral:rRNA from 1 species
AUGUUGGUGAAUGACUCCACCAGCCGCCACCCAAAAGAAACCCUAGAGAUGGAUCCUGACAUGGGAGAUGUCACAGAGGAGGAGGGGGAGGCUGUGGAGGUUAGGGGAGCAACAACACAGAGGAGGAGGAGGAGGCGCAGGCAGAGGGCACUAGAGGCGGCCCAGGUUGAGCAGCAAGAGGAGUUCAACUGCCGACUCUCCGAGAAGGUACUGGAGAAAUGCAAUGAUGAAGAACUGGAGCUGGUUUUCACUGGUGGCAGGGGAAGGACAUUCAUGCAGAUCAUUAGCUGGGCAAGGGCGAGGGCAGUCAUAGCUCCCCAUCCAGCUACUAGGGCCAAGUGGGUUCGUUUCUUCGAGCGUUAUGACUGA